CUACGGGCCGCUCCAGUGGGGAAUAUUGCACAAUGGGCGAAAGCCUGAUGCAGCAACGCCGCGUGAGGGAUGAAGGCCUUCGGGUUGUAAACCUCUUUUAGCAGGGAAGAAGCAAAAGUGACGGUACCUGCAGAAAAAGCACCGGCUAACUACGUGCCAGCAGCCGGGGUAAUACGUAGGGUGUAAGCGUUGUCCGGAAUUAUUGGGCGUAAAGAGCUCGUAGGCGGUUUGUCGCGUCUGCUGUGAAAACCUGAGGCUCAACCUCAGGCCUGCAGUGGGUACGGGCAAGCUAGAGUGCGGUAGGGGAGAUGGGAAUUCCUGGUGUAGCGGUGGAAUGCGCAGAUAUCAGGAGGAACACCAAUGGCGAAGGCACAUCUCUGGGCCGUAACUGACGCUGAGGAGCGAAAGCGUGGGGAGCGAACAGGAUUAGAUACCCCGGUAGUC
rnacentral:rRNA from 1 species